CGGGGCCGGGGAUAGAGAUACCCACCCCAUGGAUACCCGUUUAAUACCCAUAAAUAUCAAUUUACCAAAAUAUUCCCAGUAUAUACAUAUAUUUUUAACAAACCCUAUUCCCAAUUUCCCAUUUCACUCAUUCUCUUUGCUCGAAUUUCACUCUCAGAUCCUCUCCUCAUCAUUGCCGCCACUUCCGUCGCUCACUUCCCAGCCUCACCGCAAGCUUCUCCACCUUCGGCGAGGUCGUUGGUCGCCUUCCCUUCCCCCUUCCUUUUUCCCCUUUUCUCAUCAAAUCUCCUCCUCGCGUGCCAUCCCUCCUCCUCCUCGUCAGAUCAUCAGCACCACGGAUCUGCCUAUCACUGUCUUUGCCAUAGAUUUGUGCGCUGCCAUCAGUGCCUCGCCGAUUUUCUGUCGCCGUCUACUCCAUCUCUGGGUUUGCUUUUCGCCGUUGCUGAU